rnacentral:tRNA from 2 species
UAUGCCUUAGUAUAUGAUGUACAAAAAUUUUUGGAAUUUUUAGGGAUAGUUUAAUUCUAUUGGGCAUAA